AAAGAGAAAAAGAAAAAUAAGAAUAAUGUUAUUAUUUUAAUUCUUUUUUUCUCUCUCUCUCCCUCUUCUCUCUUUCCUCUCUCUCUUCUCUCUCCUCUCCCUUCCCCAUCGUGCGAACAGCCUUUCCCCCACCGAAUUCUCUCUCUCUUCCCUUUUGACCGGUCAAGCCCUAUCUCUUCUCUCUCUCUCUCUCUCUUCUCUCUUCUCCCCCACGUGACCGAAAGCCCCCUUCUUCUUGUUUCUUGCUCGUGAGAACCAGAAGCGAAGCAGAAGCCGAACGGAAGACGGCAGAAACGGAGCAGCUCGCCGAACCGCCGUCUGCUCCACCACCCGCCGUUCAUGCGUGCGCCGCCCCACCGAGCUGCUGUCCGUCCCUCCUCUCACGCCAGUCCAACGCCGUCCAACUUCCAUCUGCUUCUGUUCCACCUCGUCCAGUCACCGUGAGUGGCCGAGCAAGCCACCGGAGCCGCCGUGCAGCCUUGCCGGACCACCGUCUACCUUCCCGACCCUUCUCCGCCCCUAACCAUCUCUUUUUUCCCCUGUUUCGUAGCCGAACCAGCAACCCACGAAAUGGGUUUCCAGCCGGUUCGUGGGCCGUUUUGGGCCAUUUCCGAGCCCCGAACCCGAGCGGUGCUUUGGAGUUUGUCGUUCCUUGCGUCGCCCUCGUCGGAUUGAUCCGAUUUGCGCGCGAUUUGGUGAGUAAUCUCACUAAUCCUGGAUUAGUUGGCUAAUUAUGCUUAAGGUUGGUUUAGUUUUAAUUAAUUAUGUUUAUGUUGUUAG
rnacentral:lncRNA from 1 species